rnacentral:lncRNA from 1 species
UGUUUUGGUCUGUUUUUCUCAUACUAUAUGCAAUAGGUCUACUAUAUUUGUUGUAUUGAACGAUUGUAAGGUGUACAUGUCUAACGGGCAGAUGUCAUGUGACCUUGACCUCAUUUUCAUGGUUCAGUGGUCAAAGUUAAGUUUUUGAGUUUUGGUCUUUUUAUCUAAUACUAUAUGCCAUAGGUCAACUGUAUUUGGUGUAUGGAAAUAUUUUAUGAUCUUUUUAUGUAAGUCGCACAGGUUUUAUUUGACCGUGACCUCAUUUUCACGGUUCAUUGCACAGUGUUAAGGUUUUGUGUUUUGGUCUAUUUUUCUUAAACUAUAAGUAAUCGGUCAACUAUAUAUGUUGUAUAGAAGCAUUGUUAGCUGUACAUGUCUGCCUGGCAUGGUUCAUCUGACCUUGACCUCAUUUUCAAGGUUCAUUGGUCUAUGUUUAGUUAUCUUGGUUAAUGUUAAGUUUAUGUGACAAUUGUUAUAAAGCUUAGCUUUAUACUUAGGACUAUCAACAUAAUAUCAAUGAUUAGUAUAGAAGGCGAGACAUUUCAGCGUGUGCACUCUUGUGUAUUUUAGGCAACAU